rnacentral:rRNA from 1 species
GACGAACGCUGGCGGCGUGCUUAACACAUGCAAGUCGAACGGAAAGGCCCUGCUUUUGUGGGGUGCUCGAGUGGCGAACGGGUGAGUAACACGUGAGUAACCUGCCCUUGACUUUGGGAUAACUUCAGGAAACUGGGGCUAAUACCGGAUAGGAGCUCCUGCUGCAUGGUGGGGGUUGGAAAGUUUCGGCGGUUGGGGAUGGACUCGCGGCUUAUCAGCUUGUUGGUGGGGUAGUGGCUUACCAAGGCUUUGAGGGGUAGCCGGCCUGAGAGGGUGACCGGCCACAUUGGGACUGAGAUACGGCCCAGACUCCUACGGGAGGCAGCAGUGGGGAAUAUUGCACAAUGGGCGGAAGCCGGAUGCAGCAACGCCGCGUGCGGGAUGACGGCCUUCGGGUUGUAAACCGCUUUCGCCUGUGACGAAGCGUGAGUGACGGUAAUGGGUAAAGAAGCACCGGCUAACUACGU